CCUACGGGGGGCAGCAGUGAGGAAUAUUGGUCAAUGGGCGGGAGCCUGAACCAGCCAAGUCGCGUGAGGGACGACGGUCCUAUGGAUUGUAAACCUCUUUUGUCGGGGAACAAAGGCGCCCACGGGUGGGCGGAUGAGUGUACCCGAAGAAAAAGCAUCGGCUAACUCCGUGCCAGCAGCCGCGGUAAUACGGAGGAUGCGAGCGUUAUCCGGAUUUAUUGGGUUUAAAGGGUGCGCAGGCGGAAUGUCAAGUCAGCGGUAAAAUUUCGGGGCUCAACCCCGUCGUGCCGUUGAAACUGGCGUUC
rnacentral:rRNA from 1 species